GAAAUACUCCCUCCGUUUGGAAAUACUUGUCUUAGAAAUGGAUAAAAUGGAUGUAUCUAUAACUAAAAUAAUUCUAGAUACAACCAUUUCUAGGACAAGUAUUUGUGAACGGAUGGAGUAGUUU
rfam:Triticum urartu cultivar G1812 contig453609, whole genome shotgun sequence.